rnacentral:misc_RNA from 1 species
CCGAGUUUGCUUUUCUAGCUCGAAACCCACUGUGAACAUACCUCUCUUCUCGUUGCUUCGGCGGCGGUUCCUUCUCCUCGCCCGCUCCUCUGCGGGCGUCGUCCAGGUGCUCAGCCGUCGGAGGGACGCAACCAAAAACUCUUUCUUACUUUCAAGUAUUAUCUGAGUCGAUAUUUUUAAUUAUCA